GCGAUGAUAAAACCGUUGCAAAGAAACGUGUGUAAAUACAUCCGUUGGAUAUUUCUUCUGUAUAAACUGCAAAUGUCGCGUAGGAAAGCGUUCUCAAAAACGUAGUUUAGCUGCUGGUAGAAACGUCCUUGCAGCUAUUCAGUCCAGUUAAGUCCAGUUGACAAUCAAGUUUUGGCAGGUAAUACUCAGGUGGUUUCGUUCAGAAAAUAGGAGUGAAUUUCGAAGUUUCUUUUAUCGAAUAAUUGUGCCCAAUACAUAAUUAUAGGUGACGCAAAUUUCUAACCGAAUAAUGGUCGAUUAUAGCAAGUGGAAGAACAUAGAAAUCUCUGAUGACGAGGAUGACACGCACCCUAAUAUCGAUACACCAUCACUAUUCAGAUGGCGACAUCAAGCAAGAAUCGAGAGAAUGGAAGAAAGAAAAAAAGAGAAAGAGGAGCACGAAAGGAAAAAAGCACAGACACUGAAAAAACUUAAAGAUACGAAGGAAAAGCUCGCAAAACUGGAAAAUGAUCAAAAGGAUUCAGCUGAUUUAACCACUCUGACAAAGGCACUGCAGGAAUUGGAAAAAGAGGAAGAAAGGAUCAAGAAAGAAGAGGAAGAUCUGAUGAAAAAAGAAAAAUUGGCUCCAUGGAAUGUUGAUACAAUUGGUCAAGAUGGCUUUACUAAAACUGUAAUAAAUUCGACACCUAUACGACGGGACGAUGAUUUGAAUAUUUCGGAUGAAGAAAAGGAAAGGAGAAUGAAAAAAUUUGUUAAAGACAAUGAGAAAAAUCUGAAGAAAUUCGGUAUGCUCAGGAGGUAUGACGAUAGUAAAAAGUUCCUUCAAGAUCAUCCAGAAUUAGUAUGUGAGAACACAGCAAAUUAUUUAGUUAUUUGGUGUAUCAAUCUUGAGAUUGAAGAGAAACAUGACUUAAUGGAGCAUGUUGCUCAUCAAUGUAUAUGCAUGCAAUACAUUUUCGAGUUGUCAAAACAGUUGGAUGUCGACCCAAGAGCAUGUGUAGGUUCUUUCUUCAGUCGAAUACAGAUUGCGGAGGUGGAAUACAAAAAUUCCUUCGAUGAUGAGCUUAGAUCAUUUAAAGAGAGAAUUCGAAAAAGAGCAGCAGAAAAGGUUGCAGAGGCUCUCAAGGAAGCGGAAGAGGAAGAGAAGAAAAAUCGACUAGGCCCAGGAGGUCUUGAUCCUGUCGAAGUGUUUGAAAGUCUUCCUGAAGCUCUACAGAAAUGUUUUGAAGCGCAAGACAUUCCGCUGCUUCAGCAAACAAUAGCUGCAAUGUCUGAAGAAGAUGCUAGGUACCACAUGAAACGGUGCAUCGACAGCGGACUCUGGUUACCAGAUGCGAAAGCAAAAGAAGAUCAAGGAGCGGCACCCAAAGAUGAAACAAGCGGGACGCCGGAUCCUGAAUGAACCAAUAGAAAUACUAUAAUAUUAUGUAUCUAUUUUUUCUUUAAUGCAACUCACACACUCAUAUAAAUAUCUUACAUAUAGUUCUUAAAAACUCUAUCAAAAAUAAAGUUAAUAUCAGAAGCGUUACGUCGUGCCUUCAUUCUCGUAAUUAGAGUAUUGCGGGUCUUUUAUUUAACAAGGCACGUGAUUAAACUCUGUAUUUUAUGCGAUUAUGGUUUGUAAUUACGAAUUGUUUUUGCAUAAGAUUAGUUUCUACACACCUCGAGAUAAUGAUAAUAUUCUGUAGAAAUACAAGGGAAAUUCAUUAAAAUCGAUCACUCUAAUUAUUUCGGAAAUGUUCAUGAAUCGUUUCUAAGAAUGAAUUAGCUAUCUUCGCAUUCAAUUCUGUGGGUAUUUUAAAUUUGAGCGGUUUUCUCGGUACUUCGAUAUAUCGUCGAGUUUCGAUAAUACAGAUACGGUCUCGUUCGACCGGAUGUGGGGAGCAGUCGAGUCUCGGACUUUCGAGAUCGUCCUCCUUUUCCGGUGCUGUGUGCGACAGGUCCUUGGGUAAUAUUUUUCAUCCUCUAUACAAGUUUGUAUCGCGUCAGUUCUCAGCCUUGUGGAAAACUCGCUUUGCUUUCUUUGCAUCGGGUAAACUGUCCUCCUUUGCUGUACAUGAAUUCCGACGAUUCUAAUCACUAAAUUGGUUGAAAUUCAUCAAAAUUGCGUGGCCAGUCUCAGCUCCUCCCAAGUCCAUGUAGCGUAGAGCCUAUAAUUCCCUAUAUUCCCUCCAGAUGGCGCUGUCGUUGUCCGCAUGCUGACGUCAUUAAUAUUCAUAUAACGCGUAGUAACGAAUCACCUGUAAUCAAGCUAUACCUCUGCAUCAUCUUUCGAUUCUUAAUGCAUAAUUGGGCUCCUGAUCGAUAAUCGAAUUAACGUCGAUCAUUUCCAUCGGCAAUUCCAACUUAACAUUCAUAGAGUCUGUUUAAAUAUUGGAUCAACUUACAAAAUUAUGAUGUAACUUUAAUGCUAUUCCUCCUAGUUCUACAAAUUUUUCUAAAAUCUGUUAAACGAACUAUCAAGACCGUAUGUAAAAGCGGAUCAUUGGAUUACAUAAAAGAUGGCGAACGUGAUGGCGUCCUUUGAGAUGGUCCCAUCAGGAAUCCACGUGCCUGAAAGAAUCAACUUCCUUUCAUUCUUUCUGUUCAAAGUGAGGCCAACAUCGGUUCAGAUUUUUCAAGCUACACGACCUUGAAGUCGAGGACGGUUUUUGGUUUUCGAUAACUGCGCAUAUAGCGGGAGUCAUCGAGUGGAAAAACGGGGUGCAGUGCAUCUUGGGUAGAUUUUCCUCUCCGCGUAACCAAGAUGGCGGACGUGCGCGGCAAUCUUGAGAUGGGUAUGUUCGAUUCGAGUUUCAUACCUCGCAUUCGCGUGUAAUGGAUUAAUCGAUAUGUCACGAGUAGAGGGAUUUACCAUGCCAGGAAAGAUCUUUUUCUGUUGAAAAUUCGGAAUUUUUGAUACGAGACGGUAUGUGAGGAGGCAAAAUUGUCCGUUAUGCGGUGGUUGAAGGGAAGCGGUACGGCGCUCGGAUCGGCUAAUCGCGUUUCCUUCGUGGACGGAGAGGGGGCACGCUCGCGGUGCACGCUGGGUCGGCGACUCGAUUGGCUGGCGGGGUGGGGGGCUUGGGGAGGGCGGACGAGUGAGUCGGGUUCACAAAAUGGCGGCCAAGCUCGGGCCUGCGAACAUAUAGUACGGGAAAAUUCGAUAAAUUUGUGCGAUGUCGCGGCUCUGUAUAUCGAAGAUCGUUUAACAUUGCGAACACGUGUGCGCCCGGUAUUAUUAAUCGCAAUCGGCAGUCCGAAGUGGCGCGAUUUGUGGCCGUAAGAUCCGGACCUUAGUGCGACGCGUAGACGGGACGAUGCAGGUGAGUGGUCGGUCACGAAAAUGAGUUUUCCAGCUUAAGUCCGAUUUUUUAAGCGAUAAUUGUUUCGCUCCGUUGCCGAGGCGAGCAUCGCCGUGGAUUGGCGAGGUCCGAGUCGCGAAAAAUCGUCGCGAUGUUGUUUGGAACGGGGGGAAUUAACGUUGCCACAUGCGUUUCGGUGUGCUCCGGGCAAGGGAAAUUCGUGUAAAAAUUGUAUUAAACAACGGGGAUGCGAUUUAACGGUUCCUGCGUGUAGGGUGGGGCCUUGGGGUCUUCCGGUGGCCCGGGUCUUGGCGCUCUUGGUCCUCGAUUUUGUCCAACUUUGAACAGUUUUCAGCCUCUGCAUUAACCUAGAAGUUUGUUUACCUCUACUCGAGACAACGUUUUUCACUGAAAAUAAUUUUGUUCCACCCUGAUUUUCCUGUAGAACGAUUCUCCAUCAUUUCCUUCAUCUUCUGUGUGGGCUUAUUCGAAAAUUUAAAAUAGACCCAUUUUUGCAAAUUGAGCUCAAAGUUGGUGGUGCAUGCUUCCUCGAUCGUGUCAGGUGUGUCUUCGGUUAAGUGAUCAAGCUAAACCCAGCAGUGUUCGUUCCUUUACCUCGAAACUACUUUGGACAAAUGACCGAUUUGUCAAAAAUACUUACGAUAGAUUAUAUUUCAUCCCAUUUUUCACAAAGUAGCCAGCGUCAUUUUCAAAGGGAACUUCUGUUCAUCCUAAGAAUUAUGUGGAUUUUCUAUUGCUUCGUGCUUUGCAAUUACAUCAGAAAUGUUUACGUUAUGAUGGGAGAAAAGGUUUUUGAACCAUUCAAAGAGGAAGGUCUAUGAAACAAGGUAAGGAACCAUUAAACAUUUGACGAUUAUGAUUUAGUAUAAUUCAUGCAGAGAGGUGAAGUAAUCGAUGGAAUGAUCUUAAAUUUAGGUACUAUUUAAGGUUAAAGCUAAAAUUAUGACUAACUGCUAGUUGUUUUUCAAAAUAAAAAUUUGUAUUGCCAAAUAUAUUGCCAUCAAAUUCAAAACGAUCACUAGUCUUACUGGUUGGUAUUAGAAAGUUUAUUCCAUGAGUUUGUAGUAAAAUGUAAACUUAAAAUGAGAAAAGGAAAAUAUUGGGAAUAUGAAAGUAGUUUCUUCCAGAUUAAGUGUACAUGUAUUUAAAAAAUGUGUAGCUAAUCUUUUUUCUUGAAUCGAGUGCAUUGAUAUAAUUUUUUUCAUUAUCGUGUGUUAUGCUUGUUAUCGAUUCUAAUGGGAAGUUCAAACCGAUCUGUUUUUUAAACUGAAAAUUCUUAGCGGUAGUGUUGGUUUUUACCAGGAAUUUAAAAUGCAAUUGCUACCAUAUUAAUAUCAUUGAUGACGUUGGUAGUUUAGACCAUUGGUGUUAAUAAAUAAUAUAAUAAUAUCCUUUCAUUCAUCUCUUACCUUUUAAAAAUCUAUGUAGGUCAAAGUUGUUGCUUUCUCGAUCAAAGUUCAUGCUACAUAUGCAUCAUAUACUUAGGGAUUAAAUUAUUUAUACAUACCUUAAAAUCCAUGCAAUGGUAAUAUGUACAAAUGAAUCUAUACUUGAUAUGCAGCCAAAAAAUAGCACGCAUACAUUAUAAUACUAUAAAUAUUUCAAUCUCUCAAAUAACAGCUCUCGAUUCUCUUUAAACCAUGCAUACUUAGAAUUUUUAGCUGUCCAGUAAAUUCAAAAAUUACAUUUCAAAUAUUUCAUCAAAAAGAACCAGCUUGAAGCAUUUCGCAGCUGAAAUCAGGAUGAAACAGCUGAACUCCUUGUGUCUUCGCUCUGUAACAUUUUCAAAGAAACGGUAAAAUGUAACUACUGAAGUUCUCAAUAAAUGAACCAAGUCUUCAAGCGAA